GACGAACGCUGGCGGCGUGCUUAACACAUGCAAGUCAAGGGGAAAGGUUAAUUUCGGUUGACCGAGUAUACUGGCGAACGGGUGAGUAACGCGUAGGUAACCUGCCUGUGAGACUGGGAUAACACUGCUAACGCGGUGCUAAUACUGGAUGAUGCGUUUUAUUCGCAUGGAUAGGGCGUUAAAGCGGGCUUUCGGGCUCGUGUUCACAGAUGGACCUGCGUCUCAUUAGUUAGUUGGUGGGGUAAAGGCCUACCAAGGCGACGAUGGGUAGCCGACCUGAGAGGGUGACCGGCCACACUGGGACUGAGAUACGGCCCAGACUCCUACGGGAGGCAG
rnacentral:rRNA from 1 species